rnacentral:rRNA from 1 species
UACGAAGGGGGCUAGCGUUGCUCGGAAUCACUGGGCGUAAAGGGUGCGUAGGCGGGUUUUUAAGGCAGAGGUGAAAUCCUGGAGCUCAACUCCAGAACUGCCUUUGAUACUGAAGAUCUUGAGUUCGGGAGAGGUGAGUGGAACUGCGAGUGUAGAGGUGAAAUUCGUAGAUAUUCGCAAGAACACCAGUGGCGAAGGCGGCUCACUGGCCCGAUACUGACGCUGAGGCACGAAAGCGUGGGGAGCAAACAGG